GUGAGGAUCAGUACGUUUGUGCUCCUGAUCAACUCUGACCUGCUAGAUUGCGGCCUGGCUAGAAGAGAUGCCUGGAGGAGGGAGUCCCAUGGCAGCCAGCCAAAAUAACCUGAAACUUUGGGAAGUGAAGGCUAUCUGGACUCCACAGUGCGUUAGAGCUAGAGGAAGCUUCCAUCUGUCUACCCUGCUGACCGUGGGAGGAUGAGGACAACAGAAGAGGAGCAAAGGAAAGCAGAGGAUUGUGUACAGCACUGGAACGUGGGAAGAAAAGCAAAAGCAAUCUUCAGUGAACACUUGAAAGAACAAAGAUGGUCAACUUCUGCAAGCAGGAGACUAGACAUGACAGGACAUGACGCGGAUACAGCCGUUGGCGUAACAAAUAUGUUAAUGGCAUCACUUUUGAUUUACAGGAAAGUGGCAAAUUCUGCAUUAAUACCAGUGAGAACAGAUAUCUGUUACCGACUCCAAAGCACCACACUCUGAUUAUGUUUUAUUAAAAUACAUAAUACUU